GGGGAUGUAGCUCAGUGGUAGAGCGCAUGCUUCGCAUGUAUGAUGUCCUGGGUUCAUCCCCAGCUUCUCCA
rnacentral:tRNA from 1 species